GUCUCUGUGUGGUCUCUUCAGCAUAGCAACAGCAGCGUAGCUGAACAUCUUACGGAUGGCCCAGGGCUCCAAAGGCUCGUUUCCUAAGUGAGAGAGAGCCUGGCUGAAGCUGUAUUACCAUUCAUUCUCCAGCCUCCGAAGUCUCAAAGCAUCACUUCCACCAUACUCUAACUGUCAAGACAAACACAAAGGCCCAGAGAAGGGGUCUCACUAUGUUGUCUGGAGUGCUGUGGUGGAGUGGAGUGGCUAUUCACAGAGCCUGUUCUGCUGGGACACAGAAUCACUUGCUCCAUCUCAUACAUUGAUGAUGAUUAAUUUGUAUGUGUACCUUCCAAAAAAGAUGGUUGUGUUUGAAUGGAGGCCUUCUGGACAGGAAAAUUGCAAAGUACAAUUAACAUUUGAGUCUGUCUGAGUCAUGAAGAAAUGGAGAUUACUGAAAAUAAUUCAUUUUGGUAUCUUCUUACAUCCUGAGAGACUAAUCUUUCCAAGUUCAUCUGAGGCUCCUCUUCUCCAUGACAACCUCAUCCAGGGAUUUCUUCCUGUCCUGGUGUUUUAUGACAUAAUCACAUCCUUCCUGAGAUAAUGAGCACACAAUUGCCUGGAUACCUGAAGGAAUGGAGACAGCGGCAGAAAACACUGCAGAGAGGUGGAAACAUCCGUUAAUAUUUUAAAAUCCCAUUACUGCUACCAACAAUAAUAAUGGAUGCAUAGAAAUAGAUCUGGAUUAGCUGAGCUUGAAACAGUCCAUCUCACACACACACAAAAGAAUUUCAGAUACAGUGAACCCACAUGUUGAAGCUUUCUAGUAUAAUAAAAAUUUCAACUGUUCUGUUGAAUCAUCUGCCUGAUUGGAGGCUACAGAAAAGAUGUCAUCUUAGGAGUGCUUGCUCUGAGUGAGGCUCAUCUUCAAAUCUGAAUGACCACAAGGAGAUUUGAUUAUACAUGUGAACACCUCAGAAGGCACAGCCCACCCAGAAGGCAGACAGGUCAGGCUGCUUUUUCUUCAUUGCUUGGAUUCAAUCCUCCGGGCGGCUCAGGCUCAAACAUAACUUAAGCAUGAUUAAACUUUAGAAGAAGCUGCCAGGAAGACUGUGAAAUCUUCAUGCCCAAGGAUCCCUAAAAUUAGGAGCAACAACCACUUGGCUCAGACGGUUUAUGGAGGCAAAGGUUUGGAUGGGAUUAGAGAUUUCUAAAUGUGAGUUCGUGUCCUCUGCCAGACCACCUUACUUCCACCAUUCCUCAGCAAAUCAAGAAAAACAGGAGAAAAGACAUGCCUUUCCAUAAGUUAAAUCUAUUCUGUUUUAAUUCUAUAUUAUAUCUGCUGUACAACUUCUUUUGUUUGUAACACCAUAUUGUUGCUAGUAACUGGAAAUUAAUUUUCACAUGCCUCAGCUUAGAAAAAUAAAAAGCAGCCCUGCAUCAAUCCCAA
rnacentral:lncRNA from 1 species